rnacentral:rRNA from 1 species
CACUAUCGUUAAGUGAAUACAUAGCUUAACGAAGCGAACCGGGGGAACUGAAACAUCUAAGUACCCCGAGGAAAAGAAAUCAACCGAGAUUCCCCCAGUAGCGGCGAGCGAACGGGGAACAGCCCAGAGUCUGAAUCAGCGCGUGUGUUAGUGGAACGGUCUGGAAAGUCCGACGGUACAGAGUGAUAGUCUCGUACACUAAAAUGCACACGUUGUGAACUCGAAGAGUAGGGCGGGACACGUGGUAUCCUGUCUGAAUAUGGGGGGACCAUCCUCCAAGGCUAAAUACUCCUGACUGACCGAUAGUGAACCAGUACCGUGAGGGAAAGGCGAAAAGAACCCCGGCGAGGGGAGUGAAACAGAACCUGAAACCGUGUACGUACAAGCAGUGGGAGCCUCUUUUAUGGGGUGACUGCGUACCUUUUGUAUAAUGGGUCAGCGACUUAUAUUCUGUAGCAAGGUUAACCGUAUAGGGGAGCCGAAGGGAAACCGAGUCUUAACUGGGCGUUAAGUUGCAGGGUAUAGACCCGAAACCCGGUGAUCUAGCCAUGGGCAGGUUGAAGGUUGGGUAACACUAACUGGAGGACCGAACCGACUAAUGUUGAAAAAUUAGCGGAUGACUUGUGGCUGGGGGUGAAAGGCCAAUCAAACCGGGAGAUAGCUGGUUCUCCCCGAAAGCUAUUUAGGUAGCGCCUCGUGAACUCAUCUUCGGGGGUAGAGCACUGUUUCGGCUAGGGGGUCAUCCCGACUUACCAACCCGAUGCAAACUACGAAUACCGAAGAAUGUUAUCACGGGAGACACACGGCGGGUGCUAACGUCCGUCGUGAAGAGGGAAACAACCCAGACCGCCAGCUAAGGUCCCAAAGUCAUGGUUAAGUGGGAAACGAUGUGGGAAGGCACAGACAGCCAGGAUGUUGGCUUAGAAGCAGCCAUCAUUUAAAGAAAGCGUAAUAGCUCACUGGUCGAGUCGGCCUGCGCGGAAGAUGUAACGGGGCUAAACCAUGCACCGAAGCUGCGGCAGCGACGCUUAUGCGUUGUUGGGUAGGGGAGCGUUCUGUAAGCCGU